rnacentral:rRNA from 1 species
CCCUUAGAUGUCCUGGGCCGCACGCGCGUUACACUGAUGCAUUCAGCGAGCCUAUAACCUUGGCCGAGAGGCCUGGGCAAUCUUGUUAACGCGCAUCGUGAUAGGGAUAGAUUAUUGAAAUUAUUAAUCUUGAACGAGGAAUUCCUAGUAAACGCAGAUCAUCAAUCUGCAUUGAUUACGUCCCUGCCCUUUGUACACACCGCCCGUCGCACCUACCGAUUGGAUGGUCCGGUGAAGCCUCGGGAUUGUGGUUCUUGCCGCUUUAUUGUGGCGUGACCGCGAGAACUUGUCUAAACCUUAUCAUCUAGAGGAAGGUGAAGUCGUAACA